GUGAUGCUGCUGCGAGUGCUAUAGGUGCCGUUCUGAUUGUGAACUGCCAUCUUGGUGCAGACCCGGGAGAACUGGCUGAGCCCUGCCGGGACUGUGCUGGAGCCAUUUUGGAUGAGCCACGCCACUGCCAGUUUCUCUGGGGUAUUUAUCAUUGCAGAGUCCACAGGAGUGCUUCCUCCAUCCUCAAGGACCCCACCCACCCUCAAUAUGAACUGUUUACACUCCCUCCCUCAGGUCGGAGGUACGGGAGUCUGGAGUGUAGGACCUGCACACUCAGGAGCUCAUUCUCAACCAAUUGACUCAUUCAGGUCUGACUGUUACUGAUACCGCUGCUAUUAUUUGCAUACUGUCAUGCUGCUAUUACUUGCACACUGCACAUUACUUGCUUUUACUUCAGACUCUGUUACUUUAACAAACUCAUCCUCUGUAGUGCUGCCAUUAUUAUUAUACUUCAUAGUUUCUAUAGCUUUUAGUUUGACUGUAUUUUUAUCAGUAUUAUUUCAUUUUGUUCUGGCAUUCAAUGUGGACAAGCAAUGUAAGAAUUUCAUUGUACAGGGGAACCUGUACAUGACAAUAAACGCUUUGACUUGACUUGAUGUGAAUCAA